AGAGUUUGAUCCUGGCUCAGGAUGAACGCUAGCUACAGGCUUAACACAUGCAAGUCGAGGGGCAGCAUGUUGGUUGCUUGCAACCAACGAUGGCGACCGGCGCACGGGUGAGUAACGCGUAUCCAACCUACCCUUGUCCAUCGGAUAACCCGUCGAAAGGCGGCCUAACACGGUAUGCGGUUCUCAGCAGGCAUCUAACGAGAACGAAAUGUGAAGGAGAAGGAUGGGGAUGCGUCUGAUUAGCUUGUUGGCGGGGUAACGGCCACCAAGGCGACGAUCAGUAGGGGUUCUGAGAGGAAGGUCCCCACAUUGGAACUGAGACACGGUCCAAACUCCUACGGGAGGCA
rnacentral:rRNA from 1 species